rnacentral:rRNA from 1 species
GUACACAAAAAUGCACAUACUGUGAGCUCGAUGAGUAGGGCGGGACACGUGGUAUCCUGUCUGAAUAUGGGGGGACCAUCCUCCAAGGCUAAAUACUCCUGACUGACCGAUAGUGAACCAGUACCGUGAGGGAAAGGCGAAAAGAACCCCGGCGAGGGGAGUGAAAAAGAACCUGAAACCGUGUACGUACAAGCAGUGGGAGCCUCUUAAUGGGGUGACUGCGUACCUUUUGUAUAAUGGGUCAGCGACUUAUAUUCUGUAGCAAGGUUAACCGAAUAGGGGAGCCGAAGGGAAACCGAGUCUUAACUGGGCGUUAAGUUGCAGGGUAUAGACCCGAAACCCGGUGAUCUAGCCAUGGGCAGGUUGAAGGUUGGGUAACACUAACUGGAGGACCGAACCGACUAAUGUUGAAAAAUUAGCGGAUGACUUGUGGCUGGGGGUGAAAGGCCAAUCAAACCGGGAGAUAGCUGGUUCUCCCCGAAAGCUAUUUAGGUAGCGCCUCGUGAAUUCAUCUCCGGGGGUAGAGCACUGUUUCGGCAAGGGGGUCAUCCCGACUUACCAACCCGAUGCAAACUGCGAAUACCGGAGAAUGUUAUCACGGGAGACACACGGCGGGUGCUAACGUCCGUCGUGAAGAGGGAAACAACCCAGACCGCCAGCUAAGGUCCCAAAGUCAUGGUUAAGUGGGAAACGA